UCCCUGUGAGCUUAGUGGUAGAGCGCGUUGCCCUCGAGGCUCGAGAUCGGUCGUUCGAAUCUACCGGAGGGAG